rnacentral:rRNA from 1 species
AUUGAACGCUGGCGGCAGGCCUAACACAUGCAAGUCGAGCGAGCGGGGGACGGGGGAGUAAUGUAUGGGGACUGCCCGAUAGAGGGGGGUAACUCCUGGAAACGGUAGCUCAUACCCCAUACUAUCGGAUAUCGCAGAUGGGGUUAUCUAGUUGGGGGGGUAAUGGCUCACCCAGACGACGAUCCCUAGCUGGUCUGAGAGGAUGAUCAGCCACACUGGAACUGAGACACGGCCCAGACUCUUACGGAGGCAGCAGUGGGGAAUAUUGCACAAUGGGCGCAAGCCUGAUGCAGCCAUGCCGCGUGUAUGAAGAAGGCCUUAGGGUUGUAAAGUACUUUCAGCCGGGAGGCGUUACCGUCAGAAGAAGCACCGGCUAACUCCGUGCCAGCAGCCGCGGUAAUAC